UAAGAUUUUAUGUACAGAAGUUAAUGUGAAUAAAUAUUAAAUUUUUAUAAUAUAAGUUUUAUUUUAAUUUCGUCUGUCGGACAGUUUACGAGUAGUGCAUUUGGUAAAAAGUUAUAUCAAUAUAUUAAUGUAUGGGGUGUUUAAUGAACCACUAUGUUAUAGAUAUCUUUGUUUCAGUAUCAAAAACAAUGUAAUUAAUUUGUAUUACAAAACAUGCCUGAAGCCAUAACUGACAAUGAAGAAGAAAUUGUGUUGCAAAAAUAUACUCUAGAGGUCAUUGAAUACUUAAAAUUGUACAUUAAUCAUUCAACAGAUUUACCAUACGUACUCUGCACAAAAACGAAUGUUGAAACAUAAUCUUGUAUUGGUGCAAUGGUGAAUGUUAUUUAAGUAUUUUAUGGUUAUACUUUGUUUCAGCGUGAAUAAAUGUUCAUAAUUUUCAUUACAAACAUGCCAUAGGAUAUAACUUACAACGAAGAAGAAAAGAAUUUUGCAGAAAUGCGGACGUGGGAACAUGAAAUACUCAGAUAUGUAAAUUGAUUAUUCGACAGAUUUAGCUUACGUACUCUGUCUAACAAAGAACGUUGCAACACAAUCUUGUAUUGGUGCAAUGGUGAACGUUAUUUAACUAUUUUAUGGUUUUAUUUUGUUUCAGCGUGAAUAAAUGAUCAUAAUUUUCAUUACAAACAUGCCAUAAGAUAUAACUUACAACGAAGAAGAAAAGAAUUUUGCAGAAAUACGGACGUGGGAACAUGAAAUACUCAGAUAUGUACAUUGAUUAUUCAACAGAUUUAGCCGUGAAUAAAUGUUCAUAAUUUUCAUUACAAACAUGCAUGAAGCCAUAACUUACAACGAAGAAGAAAAGAAUUUUGCAGAAAUACGGACGUGGGAACAUGAAAUACUCAGAUAUGUACAUUGAUUAUUCAACAGAUUUAGCAUUGAAUAAAUGUUCAUAAUUUUCAUUACAAACAUGCCAGAAGAUAUAACUUACAACAAAGAAGAAAAGAAUUUUGCAGAAAUACGGACGUGGGAACAUGAAAUACUCAGAUAUGUACAUUGAUUAUUCAACAGAUUUAGCCUGAAUAAAUGUUCAUAAUUUUCAUUACAAACAUGCCAGAAGAUAUAACUUACAACGAAGAAGAAAAGAAUUUUGCAGAAAUACGGACGUGGGAACAUGAAAUACUCAGAUAUGUACAUUGAUUAUUCAACAGAUUUAGCCGUGAAUAAAUGUUCAUAGUUUUCAUUACAAACAUGCAUGAAGCCAUAACUUACAACGAAGAAGAAAAGAAUUUUGCAGAAAUACGGACGUGGGAACAUGAAAUACUCAGAUAUGUACAUUGAUUAUUCAACAGAUUUAGCUGACGAGCUGCCCAUUCUAAUCAAAUCAUGUAGACUGCUUAUUCCGGUUGGGGCCACCCACAUCUGUCCUACUGUAUACAAUUGUGGCGAGAUUGAUUAAAUAGUGACUUUCAUCGACUGUGCUGUCAGAACUAUUGCAAACUAUAUUUAAGCAACUAUUAUAUCGUCGUGUAGGGGUUAGGGACUUUAACUAAUAUUCCAAAUGUUUAUAUAUAACCAUUUAUACAUAGACUGUCUGACAAAACAAUGUAUAUACAUUUAUAUAAUUAUUUUUAACAAUAAACUGCGAUACUUUU